rnacentral:rRNA from 1 species
GAUGAACGCUAGCGGCAGGCUUAAUACAUGCAAGUCGAGGGGCAGCAUGACUGUAGCAAUACAGUUGAUGGCGACCGGCAAACGGGUGCGGAACACGUACAGAACCUUCCUUCGAGCGGGGAAUAGCCCAGAGAAAUUUGGAUUAAUACCCCAUAGUACAACGGAGUGGCAUCACUUUGUUGUUAAAGAUUUAUCACUUGAAGAUGGCUGUGCGGCUGAUUAGGUAGUUGGCGGGGUAACGGCCCACCAAGCCUGCGAUCAGUAACUGGUGUGAGAGCACGACCAGUCACACGGGCACUGAGACACGGGCCCGACUCCUACGGGAGGCAGCAGUAAGGAAUAUUGGUCAAUGGACGAAAGUCUGAACCAGCCAUGCCGCGUGGAGGAUGAAGGUCCUCUGGAUUGUAAACUUCUUUUAUAUGGGACGAAAAAAGGGUUUUCUAACUCGUCUGACGGUACCAUAUGAAUAAGCACCGGCUAACUCCGUGCCAGCAGACGACGG